UUUCCGUAGGUGAACCUGCGGAAGGAUCAUUAUCGUAUAAAAGAGGUGCCAAGGGCUGUCGCUGUCCCUCAAGGGUCGUGCACGCCCAAAGUGCUUUCAUACAAUCCAUCUCACCCCUUUGUGCAUCACCGCGUGGGUUCCUCCCCUUGCGGGGAAGGGCCUGCGUUUUAUCAUAAAACUUGAUACAGUGUAGAAUGUUUAUCUUUGCGGUCACACGCAAUCAAUACAACUUUCAACAACGGAUCUCUUGGCUCUC
rnacentral:misc_RNA from 1 species